rnacentral:rRNA from 1 species
UACGAAGGGGGCUAGCGUUGCUCGGAAUCACUGGGCGUAAAGCGCACGUAGGCGGCUUCUUAAGUCAGGGGUGAAAUCCUGGAGCUCAACUCCAGAACUGCCUUUGAUACUGAGAAGCUUGAGUCCGGGAGAGGUGAGUGGAACUGCGAGUGUAGAGGUGAAAUUCGUAGAUAUUGGCAAGAACACCAGUGGCGAAGGCGGCUCACUGGCCCGGUACUGACGCUGAGGUGCGAAAGCGUGGGGAGCAAACAGG